rnacentral:lncRNA from 1 species
GAAAUUAGGCAUUUGAUCUCUUCCCAUUUUACUAUAUAUAAUAUGAACAAUAGCUGCGCGCACGGACGUAUGUAUGCCUGGAUCCUAAGUGUAGCUUCAGUAAGGCCUAAACCAACCAUGGACGCUGAUGUAAACUUACUUUGAUUUCUUUCUUAAUAGAUGACAUUCGUUUAAACAUCCAAACUCUCUUCUACCAAGUAACACCAUCUGAAUAAAGAAUUAAAGAAAACACAGU